UGCAGAUGCCUUGGCAAAAUGAAGAAAAUGCUGUAGACUGUGCCAUAUACUCGAUGAGGCAUAUGCAGACUUACACAGGCACAUCAAUAGAAGACUGGAAUGCAGGACUCACUGGAGGCCCUGAAGAUAAUACAUUCCUCACAUCACUGAGAGCUAAAUAUGCCGCAACCAUACUCAUGUCAGAAUGGAAUACCCUUCUACCAGAGGUGACAAAUGCAGCCAAAGAAAUCUACAAACAAUCAAAGUGACCGUGUUUGUAAAGAUGUUGAUUCCUGUAAACUGAAA